UGGGGAAUAGUGGACAAUGGGCGCAAGCCUGAUCCAGCCAUGCCGCGUGAGUGAUGAAGGCCCUAGGGUUGUAAAGCUCUUUCACCGGUGAAGAUAAUGACGGUAACCGGAGAAGAAGCCCCGGCUAACUUCGUGCCAGCAGCCGCGGUAAUACGAAGGGGGCUAGCGUUGUUCGGAUUUACUGGGCGUAAAGCGCACGUAGGCGGACUUUUAAGUCAGGGGUGAAAUCCCGGGGCUCAACCCCGGAACUGCCUUUGAUACUGGAAGUCUUGAGUUUGGUAGAGGUGAGUGGAAUUCCGAGUGUAGAGGUGAAAUUCGUAGAUAUUCGGAGGAAAACCAGUGGCGAAGGCGGCUCACUGGACCAAUACUGACGCUGAGGUGCGAAAGCGUGGGGAGCAAACAGG
rnacentral:rRNA from 1 species